AAAAAAUGCCUGGGGAGGAAAAAUACAUGGGCUGACCACAUGGCCUGGAAAAGAAAAUGCUGACUGGUCCAUUUUAUCUCCAGGAAGGUGAAGAGGAAUUCACUUGCUAAGAAGAGGUGAGCAAGAGAUACAGUGAGAGCAUCAACCUUAACUCUGAAUACCAGGUACACUCCUGAUUGACUUAAGGGACAGACCAGAAGAAACCUUUUAAGCAGAGCCAUGGAAGAACAACCUCCAGUGUGGCAAGGUGUGUGCAUGUUAAGCAUUACUCCUCACUUUUGGUUUUCUUAAGGAUCUGCCUUCAUGGAAAAUGGAUGUGACCCGUGCUACAUAGCCCUGUCC